UGUUCUUGUUAGAUUAAUUCUAAGGUGGUUUGCAAGUUCAAGGAGGUGAUAGCAACAUUGGAUAUUGAAUCGAGGAAGAAGAAAUUGCGAAAUUGAAGCAAUUAAGAGUAGAAAUUCCUCCGAGAAAAUUUAGGCUAAAAGAGCGACGAGGCGAACGGGUUUACGAAUAGUCGCUAAUAGGUACAGAUAGUCGGUUUGGUGACCCCUCAGCAUAGGACUUCUACUCAGCUGUUUUGGAGAGCUCCGUUGUUCCGGAGUCUAGACUUUUGGUUCAGAUCUUAUGAUGUAUAUAUAUAUAUAUAUGUUUAUCCAGGAGUACGACGGGGUCCUGUCCCGUCAUAUUUCGCUACUAGUACUCUUAGAGGUCUGUGGACAUGUAU